UGUCCUAAAAUGUGAUUCCUUUGAUGGAAGAGUGAGAGGGAUUAACCACUGGAACGAACUACCAAUGGAUGUGGUAGCUUCUCCAUAUCUGGAUGUCUUCAGAUCAAGACUGGGUGCCUUUCUGGAAAGUUAGAAAUGCAAUGGAAGGAAACCUCAUGAACCACAGGUAUACUGCAGGCACCGCUGCUCGGCUGCUGUGUUCGACUGCACUGAAGAAAAUGAAUCUUUUCAAACAGGUGAAUUUUCCAGCAGAAAUGGACCAAACAGAUUCAGUUCAUUGAAUAGAAAAUGUAAUGGUGAUCUAAACCUAUUACCUUCAAAGAAGUCUGUGACAUUUUCUUCAAGCAUAUUGAUCUGCUAGAGAGACAGAGAGGUGGGGGACCGAGGGGAAAAAGAGAACUUUAUUUUUUUACUCAUUGUGUUGCGUCAGUCAUUGUAAUGCUAGUCACAAUGUAUAAAAGACUCCUUGAAUCACAGGGUUUUUGAAGAAGCCACAA